CAAACUGUAUAAGGGGUUUAUCUAGCUCUGUAAAGCCAAAGCAGGAGAUAUAAAGACACACACAGAGCCACAGAGAGUAUUUUACCGGCGUGUUUGAACGUUUCCAAAUCUCAGAAUAAAAUGUCUUCACCUGCUGAGGUGUGUGUGGCUGUCUCAGUGUGUGGGAGGCCUUCAUGUGUGCGCGCUGUUCACAGUUUGGAUACGGUGGACUCUUCGGUUGCUUACCACAUCCAGGUUCCUGUGCAUGCAAUGCCAGCAAUGGGGGUUGAAGAGCCAGCUGGUUUUACCGGUUAAAAUACUAAACUUGUGUUUUUGAAAAAUUUACAUGUGUAUAUACAUAUAUAUAUAUAUAUAUAUAUAUAUGUAUAGAAUCUUUAUGCUACACUGCAGCACUGUUCCCAUCCUGUUGGCAUGGGGUUAAAACAGGCCAUAAGAGUUUAUGUGCCAACACAUAUACCUUUAUACACAAUCUUAUGUUAUCUAAGAAGAACAGAAAUGCUCCCAUAAAGUAAUUGGAGGCAAGACACUUAAAGCCUAUCAAUGCAACUUAGGACCGUGCUCCCUCCACUAGGAGCUUUAACAAGACUAGCGGGGCUUUUUGAUGCUCUCAGUCUAAAUCCUUAAUGUGUCUGCAAACAAAUUGAGAAUCCAGUCUUUAAAUAUCCUUCUUCUCAGUCCUGGUCAGCUUUCAAAUGACCUUAAAGUAUUAAUCUUAUCUUUUAAAUUUAUUAUCGGAUGGCCAUUGGUAAAGUUACAUUAUAUAGCACCAGUUCACAACAGCAGUUAUCUCUAUGAGCUUUACACUGUAAGGUAAAGACCCUGAAAUAUCAGAUGUAAAUUCGGAACAACCCCCAUGACCACUUGGUGACUGUGGGAAAGAAGAGACCUCAGCAGGCUGCAGGGCAGUUGGGGGGUGGUAAGGAAACACGACAGGACCGAGGAGUAAAGAGAGCCCAUAAACAACAAACAAGAUGAAACACAAAAUACUGGAAACUGGUGCAGAAUAAACAUGUAUAUGAUGUGUAACAUCACAUGGCUACCAUAGAGAUAUUGCAACGGUACAGUAUUUGUUUAAGACAAUUUCAGGGCAGUGAAUACUGUGAAACUACUUGGCAGGUAAGUAAUAAAUAUUUUUGUUGUUGUCAAUGAGAGAAUUAGCAUUAUCAAUAAUGUAGGAUCACAGUUUAACUUCUGUAAACUAACAGUAUAUUCAUGUAAUCUGCUUCUAAUAAUAAAGUAAAAGCAUAAACACGCUGCUGUUCUCUGUCAUUAUAAGUGUUCAUUUUAAGAGUGAAUAUGUGCGUGCGUGGCUGAGCACGAAAACACUUAUCCUUUCAGAUUGCCAGGUGACAUUUUGUAAAUGGUGGGUCACAGUGUGUGUUUCUGGUGGACUGACAAGACACACAACGAGGGACAAAUAACAAAGUGGAAAUGCACGAUUGGCAGUGUGACACACAUACAGACACGCAAUCCCCAAAGACUUGGAAGUGUACUAGUUUACGAGAGUCAAAAUAGAUUUCUGUAAAUAGAAAAGUACAAAGAAGAACAAAUUCUGUUAUGAAAUACUCAGAGGCUGGACGCAGGCACACCACUGCCAUCUAGUGGUCACAGGAAGAAACGCAGGACAUUCAACAGUGAGUAUCAGGCAGAGAAGCCACAUACAAAAGAGCCUCAUAAACUGUGAUUGCUUUUAAAAUUAAAUCUGCUUUAGUUGCAGCUAACAUAACUGAACACGUGAAUGUUUCUAAUGGCCUCAUUACUCUACUUGUCGGUGCCCAUCCAAAUCCUGGAUCCUCAGUUCUUGCUCAUGAAUACAUCCAAAUCCAGAAUGACAUGAUUGAUGGAAUAAGGUGUGGAUCUUUGACCACUCAAACACUGAAGUGACCUGUCACCUAAACAGACCUGAUCAACAAGAAUACCUGCACCUCGCUGAGAUAUGUGUACAAACUACAAGCCAAAAUUAAUACAUCUCCUUAAUCCAUUCACGUUAAACCAACAUACGACAUUGCUCAGUCUUCUUUGCAUUCAGUUUUAUUGUGAGUUGCUUAAAAAGCAUUAAGUAUGACUCCCAGGGACAGUUUUAUUAUGAUCUUUGGUGAGUGUUGUUAUAAACAUACAGUCCUAAAAAUGCUGUAUGAUAAAUAUUAUGCACAAACCAGCAUCCAACAAAAGUUUAGCUAGUCGCUUUAGGUGCAAGAUCAAAAUUUAAAAAUGGCAUUACUACUCUAUACAGAACUGUUUUAAAAAAGCCCACUGGAGAUAUGCAUCCUAUCACUAUGUAUCAAACAUAUAUCGAUCCUUUUUAGCACAGUUUCUUCAUCGGGUGUGCUUGAUUAAUCUGUCUGGACAUGCAGGUGACCGACUGUGUACAGUGUUGUGUACAGUGGAACAGCGUUGGUAAAUUAGACUAAAUCAAGCACACCGGCUAUAGCAGACUAUGAUAAAUCACAGACCGACGUUUGCAAGGGUGUCUCUACUCCCGCUCUGCUA